rnacentral:rRNA from 1 species
AACGAACGCUGGCGGCAUGCCUAACACAUGCAAGUCGAACGAGACCUUCUUUUCUAGUGGCUCACGGGUUCGUAACGCGUGGUAACCUGCCCUUAGGUUCGGAAUAACUCCCCGAAAGGGGUGCUAAUACCGGUUAAUCUCUUCGGACCAAAGAUUUAUCGCCUUUGGAUGGGCCCGCGUUGGAUUAGCUAGUUGGUAGGGUAAAAGCCUACCAAGGCGACGAUCCAUAGCUGGUAAGAGAGGAUGAACAGCCACACUGGGACUGAGACACGGCCCAGACUCCUACGGGAGGCAGCAGUGGGGAAUAUUGGACAAUGGGGGAAAGCAUGAUGCAGCAAUGACGCGUGAGUGAUGAAGGACUUAGGGAUGUAAAGCUCUUUUACCCGGGAUGAUAAUGACAGUACCGGGAGAAUAAGCUCCGGCUAACUACGUG